UCAUGUCCACUACUAUCUAUUACAACAUACAUGACUUGACUUCACUCUAGUCGACUUCUUGAUCUAUCCUGUACCUGCAACUCUGGGGAUAAAGGGAGUGGGGUGAGCUACUAGAGCCCAGUGAGUAGAAACUAAAAACAUUUGUUUUAAUUCCUCCAUUUUUAGGUAUAUUAUUAUUCAUUUAACUUUUUCUUUCUUUUUCUUGUUCAUGCUUUCAUGUAUGCGCCAUAACACAAACAUUUCACAACAAGGAUGAACUUGUCACCAUUUAGCCCCUAUCUUUCUUACUUAUACAUGCCGGGGGCGUAGAGCCGUAGCAGGCACACCCGGACUUCCAUAAUCAGUCAUAGUGCCAGGGGCGUAGAGCCGAAGCAGGCACACCUGGACUCACAUAGGCUAUCAUGACAUACAAGGGCUAAUGGAUCAUUCAACAUUCAUCCACAUCAACAACAAAGUAUGCAAUGCAACAUAUUCGUGAAUUCUAAUGCAAACAACCUAAUAUUGCAUGGCAUAAUGAUGCAUGGGCAAUGCUUUAUGAUUCAUUCAUUUAUUCAUUUACUUUAAAGCUUAAGGGGGGUUGUUCCACUCACCUGGUAACUGAAGCUUUAACAACGAACUCAGAACGACUAUCUCACAACCGGGGGUCUCGGUUCCUCGGGUCCGAACCUACACAGGUGGACUCAAAUGAGGCACCAAACAUACAUGAACAUGACUCUAAAAUACUCCCCAAAGACCCCCUAAAACAUCCUGAAAACUUCACAUGAAAUCAUGCAAGAAACGGCUGAACAGGGCACUUUCGGCGGCAGGUUCGGCGGCCGAAAGUCCCUCUGCAGCCGAAAGUCAUGCAGGUUCGGCGGCACUUUCGGCGGCCGAACCUCCUAGACAGAGACGAAACUUGAGUUUCGGGGGCAGGCUUCGGCAGCCGAAACUGCCUCCACAAGGGGGUUCGGCGGCCGAA
rnacentral:lncRNA from 1 species